GGGCAAGCUCCCAGAUUCUAUUUCAGCCAAUCGGGACCUGGAUCCUAUUUCACCCAAUCGGAGCUUGGUCUCUCUCCUCUCCAGUCAGCAAGGAGCUCACCCACCACCCUUAGACCCUGCCAAUUGACCAGAGCCAUGACCUAUCACCCCACCAACUGCCCUAGAACCCCAUAAAACCUUUGUGGUAUCGAAACUCGCUCUCUUUCUCUGGCAUCUUGCCACUGCGUUGGUGUAGAUGAGAGAUUGAGCUCGAGCUAGCUUGAAUAAAGGCUCUUUGCUUUUGCAUCAGUGUUGGCUCCUUGGUGGUCUUCUGGGAUUCAUGACUUUGGGCACAACAUUUGGGGGCUCGUCCGGGAUCCCAGAGACCCCCAGGACUCCUGACCCAGAGGGCCCUGUGCCGGCUGAAAUAUCCGAAUUUCCUUAUGUCUACUGUCUUGCAGUAAGCUCUCAUCAGAUCUUUAACCACUGUCAUUUGUAAGUCUUUUGCCAUUUAUAGUCACUGUUUUAUUACUCCUACACUAGUAAAGAACUAGAUUUUAGCAGAACAGGUAUUAGUUACAAAGGAUUAAGUGAACUAAGGAAGAUGGUUUUGUGACUUUUUGUUUCAGAUGUUGCUGAUAAAGUGUUUUAAGCUUUUUCUCUUAAGCUGACAAGUUUCAUGAAUGACAAUACCUUUAUAAGCAGAACUGAAACAUUUAUCUUUCUCUCUACCUGACCCCUCAAGAAUUUAAAAGCUUUCAGUAUUUUUAUGUUUCAUGGCAGUAUGUUUAUUUGCAUAAGUUCAAUAAGAACCUGCAUUCCUUGUAAGAGGACCAAUUAAAAACACAGGUUAUACUACCAAGGCUUUGACUGGAAUGUCAUACCUGAGAGACACGUGCAUAAACUCAGAUAUGGACAGCUUUAAGGAACUAAGGUUGACUUUAUAAAGCCAACAAAGCCGCUUGGAAGAACUGGCCUGGUACCUUGCUUACAGAGUUCCCAGCAGCCUUACAAGGUGAGUAAGGAAGGUCACUUCCUGGCAGGUUCAGGAACCUCAAGAUGUCUCGGGGACCUCGAGAAGAGAGGAAUUCACCCAAAUCUACAGAAGCCACAAAACUGCAAAUAGUAAUAGAAAUGAAACCCAGAAUAGAAGCGCCAACUUUCUGAGGCCCUCUCAACUGACCAGUGAUGGAGACCUAGCUGCACCCUUUACUGCGCCCCCUUCUCAGCACGAAGCAGCCAGAGCGGUCAUCACCCCCUUUUCCCUAGCAGC